AACUGCUACACUUGGCUCCACUUUGACAAAUGACGGCGGCCGUGCAGAGAGUGUGGAGCAGAUCUUCCACACUGACAUUGGCCUCCGUGUUAUUACACCAAAGAGGUCAGGGUCAGUCCAAUAGAAUCGCCUCUCAUGCAGUAAGGGAGGAGGACGUGAGCCACUCCAUCAAUUCACCAUGAACAGAGGACGGCGCUGGAGCGGUAUGGCAUUUGGAAAAGAUGUUACCGAGGAAUUCCUUCUGCUCCUAAUCCCUGAGCAGCGAGCACGGCUGCUGUGUCUCUACAGUAUUGCGCGUACGAGGGAAGGCCCACAGCUGAGGUAGUUUUUUCCCAAGGUCAAAGCCUGUGAUGAUGAGCUGCAGAGCUGACUUGACGCAUCUGGACUUCAUUAUGGGGGGCUGGAACAUGCUUUGCUAUCAUUCCUGCUAUCUGCUCGCGGGAGAUGGAAGACAGCCACAGAAUCCAACUUAGUGGGGGUUUGUCUUCCAUCUUUUGCUCGUGUUCAGGGGGCUCGCCUUCCCUUUCCCUCUCAUUUUCCCUUUUGUUAUUUCGAGUAACUUCAUCUUCAUCUCCGCCAUGGCCUCUGAAGUGCUGUGUGUUUAUGCAAAACCCAUGUUUGGCGCACUUGUCGAGACCUGAAGUGAAGAUUGAAGUGCUUGUCAGGGCUUUUUCGCUUCAAGUCUGCCUCACUUGGAUGAUCCCCUCCACCCCUUCCCAUCCCCAAACCCCUCCACCUCUUCCUCCCCCUCGCUUUCACUUUGCUGAGAAAGUUUCUUCUUCCUCUCCCAUGCCUCGUUGUUGCCCCGGAAAAGUCAGAGCUAAGUCAGAGCUCUUCCCUGUCUCGCCCCCAGGACAAGAGAGCACCUAGCCACAUGCCUCGUAGGCUCGCCAGGAGCUCAGCGCCUCUGAACUAACUGAUUGCCACUCAAAAAAAAACACCCACACUGUUGCCACUCUGCCAUUUGCUGUCGUGUGUGCAAACAUGGAGCACAUCAAAGGAGCAUAUUCACUUACCCCCUCUCCACAACCUCAUCAAGCCUUACACCCCGUACCCUGAAUCCCCCUCCUCCUCCUACCCUCCUGCUUCCCUCUUUUGCCCGUUGUACUUUUUUUUUUUUUUUUUUUGUAGAUUAAAUCAAACAGACCUAAUUUUCAUCGGCGCGUCAGAAGCGGUGCACCGGACUGUGUGGCUAAGAGGAAAAAUCAAUGCAGCCCCUAAGUGGAAGAUCAAACUCAAUAUGUUAGGUUUCGGAUUGAGCCGUAGUGUCUUCAUUAAUAUCUAUCGUUCGUAUAUCAAGACAACAACAAGGAUCCAUUAUUGAUAUCUGGCAGCUAAAGUUGCAUCACCUUGAGAGUUCCGAAGGUGAAAAACAACAUCGCACAACUGGGUGUUUUUUUUUUUCAUUUCUUUAUUUAUUUCAGUUUCCCUCUAGUGAGAUGUCACUUCAAAAACAGCCCGACCAAGGAGUGUUAUUGUGCUGAAAGAAUGUCAGCCAGUUACAAUAGGCUGCUUAAUGAGGUAGUGUGGCAAACUUUCAGGCAGGCCAUAAUAUGAAUUAUUUGUCAUUGGGCUCUGUGUAUGUGUGUGUCUUUGGAAAGGGCCCAGUGUAAAGCAGGAUGAAGGCAGGCCUUGAUGGAGAGAUGUGGCACUAGCCUGGGGGCUCGCUCCACUGUGAGGGUAGUUAGCUCGCUGCACACCGCCAUCAUUAGGGACUAGGGCACUUGUGCUGGGAAGGUGACACACGAGCCCACAUUCAGACAGCGGUGCGCGCACUCACACACACACACAUAACACCUGUAUAUAUGCUGCACCUCUUCUCUUCUCUGCGUCUCUCUCUCUCUCUCUGUUUCGGCCUCACACAUCGCUCCCAAGUUAUCCUCCACAUGAAGCACCGUUCAGUCGAAAUGCAAAUCGGGGCUUUUGACAGUAAAUCACCGGGCCGUGAGUUAACUUUGAAAGUGUGACGGAUGAGAUGUUUAUGGACCCGCUGCAUGGCCUGAACGGUAUAUCUCUGUCGAGCAUUGACAGGGUUGUUAAUCAAUACCGCUGACCUAAUGGUGACUUGCAGAGGUUUCAGGCAUGGCUAAUUAUAGCUGUGCUGAGAGGUUGAUUAGGGGCAGUGAAGGCAAGCGGCAAACGCAACACUGACAUAUUACGACUUCAUAAAGUUACUCUUGCAGUGUGUAACUUUUUGUCUCCCCCUUCUGGUAGUGUGAGUAAUAACACAUGCAUGGUUGAUAUGCUCAUGGGCCCAGACGCAUCAAACUGACAUCAAAGAAUUUGAAAGCUGAAGGUUGCAUCGUGUCACAUCGUUUGUGUCUCAGCCCAAAAAGAGCUGCACUUGUACCCACCGUGACGCUGGUCGACCUCGCCCGUGGGAGAGCAAAGUGUCUGUCCAGACCACCAAGUAGCAGUAGACUGUACUGGUCAUUCAAAAGGGUAACUUCUCUCACGGAUGUUCUCCACCACAGAUUCAACAGCCAAGUUAAAAAAAAAAGUUUUGUGCGCUGACAUGCUUUUUGACUCUCUGGGAAGUUAAAGGGACAGUUGUGCAAAUGAAACGAUCUGUUACUUGACCAUCAGUGCAGAUUUUUUGGGGGAGGUUGAGCAUUUUUGUAGGCUUUUAGGAUAAUCUAAGUGCACAACUCUAUAUAAUAUGUAACAAGAGUUGCAUAUCAAAGACGUUGUCGACAUUUUAAUACAGAAAUUGCAUGUAUUAUAUCUUUAAGACCCUCGUUGCUGGUCUACAGAUGCACUUGUGAGCAACCAUCUGCUUACUCGACAUUCAUUCGGAGUGAUUUUUUUUCUGGCCACCUGAUGAAUGUGAGUCCAAUAUUCAGUCUUAUUUUUUUCCACCAACUUCCUGAGAGGGAAGUUUGGCUCCGACUGCUAAAUGCUCCAUUAUAUUCCCCAGCUAGUCACUGAAAUGCUCUCCAGAAUUAAGUGAUGAUUAGCUUUGGUUUUGUCACUACGAGUGACUCCUUACAUAUGCAGAUAGUCCUUUUGUACUUGGUUAAUAUAGGAAAAAUAAAGAUUUGAGCAACUUUUGAGAUCACACAGUAGAUCACUGAACUCAUUUAAGGUUGAAAACUACCGUAUGAAAACUGUAUUAUUGAUUAUUCUCUUUAUCUGUAUUAUUCUAUUAAAUUACCCUUUAAAAAUGUUUUUUCAAGUUCCCUGAAGCCGAGUUGAUGUAUGUCUCUUUUCAUCUGGCAAACAGUUGAAAGUUAGAGCAGAUGUCUUGAGCAGAUGUCGCUUAAACAACGCUUGCAGGGAUGCUCUAAAAGCAACUUAUUGUCCCGUUGGCUCAUGUAGCACAACAGGAGGAAUCGAUAGAUAUUCAAAUCUGUUUCUUCUCUCGGCUCUGUGUUGCUGCCCAACUGUUGCCACUGUGUGACCUUUGGCUUCAUACGUUGGGUUUUGUAGCAAUCAGUUUUCAAGAAGGUCCGCAGAUUUGUGAAAGAGACUUUAGGAAAGGAAAAAGGAAAAAAGGCUCUCCAUGUUCUGGUCUGAAUUGCUGAAAUUCGUCUCGGAUGGAGCAGCCCUGCGCUCCCUGUUGCUUAUUCCUCUUCCCUCUGUACUUGAUCGCCGCUUUCAUUGUCCCUCUUUUUAGAAUCCAUUGUAGUGCGAUACACACAAUAUGGCCUUAAUGGAUCCAAAAUCUUUCUGAUUAAAGAUGGCCUUGUUACUGGCACACUGCAGGAUAGUCCUUUAGGAAAAGCAUUGUGCACCAAAUUGUACCAAAAUUUCCCUUGUGUGGUAGCCCCUAUUUAUUUCUCAGAUAAAAGAAACUCUCUCAUAUUUGUAGGAAAAGGAAAAAACUCUCAAAAUACCCACCUUUCAUGUGCAUCAUUUUGUUCUUCAAGGUUGGAGGACAAUUGUUACUGAAUAAAGAGUGGGGUGAUUCUUUGAAAAAUUAGUUUUGGAGAAGAGCAUAUUUAAUCUGCUAAGUGGUGUGUAUCAGAAUGGAUGAAAAUAGGUCUAGACAAGGGGUUUCGAGCAUCAAAAGCUAAUGACAUAUGAGGACCAAAAGCACUUAUAGAAGCAGAAUUCUUUUACUUCUCAGGCUCCUGCCAUCCAGGAGUUUCUCUCUUUUUUUUUUUUUUUUUUUUACCCGUUUACUGUAUGAGAUUCAUGCAUUUUGCUUAGACUGCAAGUCAUUUGUGUUUCCAAAUAACAGAAGGCGUGCGGCAACAGAUUACCCUUGAAGACAAAAAUGAUGUGGGAAAAAAAGCAUGCAGACAUUUCAAAUUGAAAACUUUGGGAACACUUUCCAUGCAGCCCACGUCCAUGAUGCAUGAUAAACAUUAUGAAUGUGCUGUUAAUUUGCCUUAAGUGUAGUUACAAACACUCACGGAUAUUCAUGAUUCUUUAUAAAACAUAAUCUCGGCUCUUUGAUUUCAUCAUACAAAUGUCUGGAAUGCAUUAAAAACACGAUUAUAAUGUAUGUUAGUGCAUGUUAAAGUGGAUUGAUUUUAGUUACAAAGCAAACAAUGGCCAUUGAUAGUGGCUUAUAACCAGCUGAUUUAUAACAUCUGCCUAUGACACAGGGAUUUUAUGACCUUACUUAAGGCACUCAAUUGCCAAUUACAGUAGCUCAUAUUCACAUUAUAAUGCAUUAUAAUAGUGAUUCUAAUGUGUUACAACUAUGAGAAUUUCAAUGCACAAUGAAAUGAGUGACCAGCAGUUGUUAUGUUCAUAAAGUAUUGACACUUGAUCGUAUGUGUCGUCAUAAAAUGCAUUAUUCUCCAUCAUGAUUGUUAAGCGCUCUGAACAUGUAUUAUUGCUCACAUGUAGGCACAUUAUAAAACAUAAGUAUGCUAUUAAUGUGCAACACACACACACAUCAUCAUCAUAAGAUAUGAUUAUCAGUAAGGUAACACAGUGCUAUGGGUGCAUUAAAGGUGCAAUAUGUAAGAUUUGGCCACCAGGGGCAGCAUAUCACUAAGAACCUGUUAAUAGUUGCUUUCUGUAGCUGCCAUUAGCUACUUAGUUCGGGCAGUCCGGACUGGGAGCUUGGGGACCAGGUGUUGGUGUUUACACUGCUAGCACAGGUGCUUUAGCAUGCUGACGUCAGCAGAUCCUCACAUUCUAUUGACACAUUUGGUCAAUUUUGUAUCUUUUUCAACUUAAAUUCUCACACACCGCACCUUUAAAACCCAGUAUGUUCACAGUGUGUAGUGAUGUAUUACGGACACGGUCUUCAUAGACAGCAUUAGCAACAUUUUGACUUCAUUUGCAUAAUUAAUUUGUUUUUAAGCCAAAUUUUCUUUACUGAGGAGACCCCAAAACUGAAGGCAUUAGCCAUGAAUCCGUUGACCUUUAACUGAAAUACUGCAGCACCACAGUUAAUGUAGAGACCCUGCUCUAUGUGUCGGUCAGAUGCUGUACUCAAUUUCGACAAAGCGCUUUCCAAAAGCUUUCCAGCAGCCUGUUUACCUGCAGCCUAGUGCUCACUCGAACACACCGCUGCUUGAGAGCACAACACAAAAUCAUUUGAAACCCUCAGACUUCACUGUAUUGUGUUUUUUGUUUUUCGCCAUCACCUCCUUUGUUGCCCUGUUCUCUCUCGCUCUCUUCACCUACACUGUGGAGUGCAAACUUGUAAUAAGUAUUGAUGCGACCUCAGAAUCCUUUACCUCUGUGUUUUUUUUCCUUACAGUCCUGCGGAAAAUCAAUUGACUCCAGUUCAUCCUUAGACACAUGACUUAAAUCUUGAGAUCAUGAGAUUCGGUCAAGAACAGCGCAGAGAGGGCACUGGCUCCGUAUUCCAAUUCCCAAACAAUUACUCAAGUGCUUUUUGAAUCUGUGAAUUUUAUUGGCCGCACAGUGGUCUUCUUUUACGGAGCAGCAUAUCAAAGUGCAUGAGGAAUGAAUGAAGGUUUUGCUCCUCCCUGAUGAAGGUCACAGUGGGGCUUCAAUUCAUCGGAGAUGGUUCCAGUACAUUCUUGUGAACUAUCCGUGCAAUUCAGGCUUCUUUAAUUGUUUUGCUUCAAUAGUGUUAUACGAACUCCUUUCACAAAAAAACAAAAAAAAAGGCUCCAAACUAAAGAGCACCUUCGAAAAACGCACGUCUACGCCAAGAAACUGAAACGGUGACCCUCUCUCUCUUUUUUUUUUUUUACUCCGUAUUAAACCUAAUUGGGGUGAAAAGAGGAAUGUCAUUAUGGAGGACAACAUCAAUCUGUUAAUGUGAAGCUGUGUUAAAAAAAAUGUCUGGCAUUUUCAUCCUCAGCGAAGGAGAUUGUUGAUGUUUAUGCUCUGCCGCGGCCAUAUCUUCUCAACCUUUCAGUUCUCUUCGGCAGCUGUGAUCAGGGUCAGUGGUAUGCAUCUCUCUUUUUAAUAACAUCGGAAACAAUAUCUUUUUGUGUUCUGUUUGUUGCAACCUGGGGGACAUAUUUAAUGUUGUGCAAUGUUUUCUGAUUUGUAUGCUUGCCUGCAGUGAUGGCCUUCAACAUUGUUCCUCCAUGCCACGCUGACAUCAAAAAAUGUCAUUUCUUUACUCAGGUAUACAAUGCCUUUUCUCCCAUUUGAAAUGUAAUAGAACUGUGACGGACCCUCCUAUGUUAUACAUCGCCAGCGGGUUUAUAGUUCAAGGAUAUAGCCCACACAAAUGCAUUAAGUGUGCAUAUUGUAUACAUUCAAAGGGAACAAAGCAGAGUCCCGCAUUUACUUGAUCAUAACUGAACCCAUCCCCCUGCUUCUUCUCUUCUCGGUAUUCACUGGAGGACUACAUCACAUUACGGCCCCGUUCAUGUACAACAUGCACGCUUGUACUUGUACUUUGUGCUACACUUUUUUUUGUUGUUUGCUCGGACACUUUGUAGAUUUAGGCAAACUUCAAAUAAAUAAGAAAUCAAUUCCGCUCUCCGCAGUGUACUGAGUGAAUCCAUAAAAAUGCUGCACUCACUUCUGUGCGUGUACACACAGAGGCUGUUUUUCCUUGCAAAAAGCUGUUGUUGAUCCGUUGAGAACGUCACACAAGCGGAGACCAACCCAAACAACACAGCCAGCUUUGAGUGCAAUGUAAUGCCUGUGUGCUGUUUCUAAUACAGAAAAUGUGUAGACAAAAUUCCCAGACACAACCACCGAUAGAACUCCAGUGGAGGGACUGACAUGGUGCAACGGCAAAUAAUUCACAGAUAAAGACUCUUCCAACAAUCUCUUUGCUGGAAGCGGUUUUGAAGUGCUGAAUGCCCUCCUCAGGUGUCUGAAAUGUUCAGACGCUUGGGGAAAUGGACACUGUGAACGCCCCUUUGUCAGCAGGAAGCAGCCUUGUUUAAAUCCUCCCGGGCAAGUCACUGAAGCUGUUCCCAAGGUGCUGCUCUGAGCCGAUACUGAACUCUGGCCUCCACGUAGAUGGAGGCAAGGGAGUAGAGAACUUCCCUACAGGGAUAAGUCGAAUAUCACUUAAUUAUUCAUUUAGUGCUCGAGGUCCAUUUGCAUGAGACACAGGCAUGGCCAGUUGUGGUCAGACAAUGUAGGGAAAGGGGAUUCGUCUCAUGUAAGGGUGAGAACAUUGUGGUACAGUUGCUGAGGCAUUUCCCUCCAGUUUCGAGCGCAGUCCCGUAGUCUUCUCUACACAUUUAUAUAGUCCUCUUUGUCCUCUUUUUGACACUUGAAAAAUUAAUGAACUUCAAAAUACAGUUGAUACACACGUGCUUAGAGACACAAUUUGUCCAGUGCGGCCAGAAUUUGAAGGUAGCUCCAAAUACAAUGAGAAUGAGGGUAGGAUAUCACCAGAGUAAUCAACAAUUGCUACUCUUAGCUUGCCAUCCUUCGCUGUAGCUAGUUACUAUAGGAUAGUAAUCUCCUGGCUCAGUUAGCCGUGAAGCCAGUUUGUCUGGAUUGAAUCGCAAAGGGGACUUGUCACCAUGGGCGACAGGGCCCAGCUCGACUGGAUUUUGCAGCCUGAUGUGAGCAUGAACAUGGCCGGACACCUGACUGGGACUGAAUACAACCUCCAAGACCAUCUGAGGACAGUUUGAAUACAGGGCACACGGUACAGAAGCGACACAGUAGCUCUGACCAAGACUGUGACUCUGUGGAUGACAAGACACGACGGGUGAUGGAGGGGAGAGGCAUGCAGUGGGAGAGAAGCCAGAAGCGUGAACUGGACUUCGACCAAACCAGAGGCAAUUGUGAGAGACAAGUAAGUUUAUUUCAUUUCUUUAUUCAUUAUGUUAACACUAAUAUUGACUACGGAACUAUUGAACUGUCACCUCUUGCCGGUGGUGGUAGUGGUAUUAGGAUAAAGGACUGGCUGGGACUAGCUGGUUAGAAUGCUGACUUAAGUAGAUAUAUCCGCAAUACAAUACAGCACUGUUGUCUUUGAUAAUUGCCAGCAACUUCUGGCCAUAUAUUACAAAUCUCUGUAUGUCUUGAUGAAAAGACAGGCUGGAAAGAUGGAUCGAUGGCAUCUUUCGAAAUGUGCUUGACUUUCUUGUGGAGUUCUGGGCACCAGCGUGAACUUGAAGGAGACCAGCAUAAAACUCUACAACUAUUGUUCUUCUGAUUCGAGUGGCUGAGGCAAUUAUCUGCGAGAGGCAUCUCGACCGGAUCGCGUGAAAGGCUGAAACAAAGGACCAACACAAGGUCGCCACUUUCCUACUCUCUGAGCUACAUCUUGAGGUUCGAACACAGCUUAGUGACGUCAAUAUUGAAGCAAUGAUCCAACGUGAACUUCAGAGACUGCUGAAGUACCACCAUGAACUGACAUGGAACUUUUUGGCUGGGGUUGCAAACACAAUUUCAAUUACCUGAAGUUGGGUGUACUUUCUGGGCCCGUUCUGGCCUUUUCAGGUUGCAGCAGCAGCAGUGAACAAGACUUUGGUGUUGCCAUGAGAACUGUCCAUCUGGAGGAGGACACGGCUGAAGCUGACGUCUGUGGAUUUUGUCCUCUUCCCUCACAUCAACUCAAAAUAAUCCAUGAUGAUUGGGUUAUGCAAAUAGUUCAGUUAACAAGGGUUACAGGUGAGCUGAUGAAAAUGAAUACUUAACACAGUUUAGGUGAUCACACCCUAUAAUUUUUUAUUAUUUGUAUUAUUCUAACAGUAAGCAGUAUAACUUGGAUUUGGGGUCAUUUGUUUCAGUCACACUUCAUAAGAACUCUGCUGUUUGUUAAAUUGUUAUUGAGUGAAUUUUAAGUGAAGGAGUGCGCGAUGCCCUGCAUUUAGACUAAUAAAUGUCAUGAAGAACAUG